rnacentral:rRNA from 1 species
CCUACGGGUGGCAGCAGUGAGGAAUAUUGGUCAAUGGGCGAGAGCCUGAACCAGCCAAGUCGCGUGAAGGAUGACGGCCCUACGGGUUGUAAACUUCUUUUGUCAGGGAGCAAUUGGGUCCACGCGUGGGCUUAGCGAGAGUACCUGAAGAAAAAGCAUCGGCAAACUCCGUGCCAGCAGCCGCGUAAAUACGGAGGCUGAGAGCGUUAUCCGGUUUUAUUGGGUUUAAAGGGUGCGUAGGCGGAAUAUCAAGUCAGCGGUAAAAAUUCGGGGCUCAACCCCGUCGUGCCGUUGAAACUGGUGUGCUUGAGUGGGCGAGAAGUAUGCGGAAUGCGUGGUGUAGCGGUGAAAUGCAUAGAUAUCACGCAGAACUCCGAUUGCGAAGGCAGCAUACCGGCGCCCAACUGACGCUGAAGCACGAAAGCGUGGGUAUCGAACAGGAUUAGAUACCCCUGUAGUC